rnacentral:tRNA from 1 species
GAGGGUAUAGCUCAAGUGGUAGAGUGCAUGCUUAGCAUUCACGAGGUCCUGGGUUCAAUCCCCAGUACCUCCC